rnacentral:lncRNA from 1 species
AGUAGGUAAGUGUGCUCCCGGGACUCAGCCCCGAGCCCCGCAGUCCCGGCGUGAGCGGGAGCUGCGCCCCGGGCUGCCCUCGCCCCGCAGAGCAGCGGGGGAAGCAGCGAGCCUACACCGGCACCCGGGGUACGGGAGGGCGAGACCCCGCGGCUUCACCUGCCCGUGGGGAUGGAUCCCUGCAGGAGCCAUUGCUGCUCAACAGCCACCGCUUUGCACUAGACAAUGUGGCAGCCUCCCUGCGAGCCUCGCUACAAGCCAGUGCUGAGUGCCAUCUGGAGAACCGAUGCCGGAGUCAAGCAACAACAUCCUGUCAUAUUUUAUCUGGAACUUUGGAACAAAACAACUAAUAACAUCUUAAGCUUCAUUUGUCUGGCUCUCUCAUGCUCUUGGCAGAGGUCAUAACCAAUGGUGGCUUUGCUGAUUUGCUGCAUCAAAACUAAUUAGGUUACAGUGCUCACUGACAGAGCCUCUCAUAAUGGCAUAAAAGCCUCAGGCUUUAACUUUAUUCAUUAUGUCAAGGUAAAGUUUCACACUCAUAAAACUUGCACCUGUGUCAUCUUCUCCGUCAUAAUUUUAACAUCCAUUAACAGUGCUUAUUCAGCUUGACAGAGUUAUUGACUCCCAUAUUUCAUUUUCCCUUCCCUCUUAAAAAAUGCUGCUGUUGAUAAGUGGGGCUCAUGGCAUGAAGGCACGUGCCUGACGUUGUAGAUGCAAAAUUCCAAGCACAGCCUCGUUGCUUUUUGCAUUCUUUACAGCAGCAAGAAUGCCCCAAUGUGACUAGAUGGGGUCUGUAUGCACUGAGACUGACUACUGCUUCCUCUGAAGAAAGCCUGGCGGUGAAUCUGGGUGCUGCAGACUUGAGAAACUGCUGUCAACAAACCCAAGGAGACAAGAAGGAGCCCUGGGCCCUUUGGUGUUUGGCAGAUUCAGUCACUGAAAUGCUGAGCCCAAAGCUGAAGCCUGAGCAGAGUUUGUUUCACAGAACUAUUGAAUGCCAUUGGAAACUUUGUUUUAGCUUGUUGUUUAAAAAUAUAGGCAAUCUGAGGACAAUGCAUUUCCAGGACUUUAUAUAAUAUGUAGAGUACUGUGAGGGGAUGUUUUUAAUGUAUUUGCAGUUUGCAGUUUAGUAUCACAGAGCAAGGAGAAUGUCUUAGCUUGGUUUUUUCCAUUCCUGUAACCUGUACUAUAGAUACAGAUAAUACCAUUCAAGAGGGAACAGAAGGUUGCAUUUGCAUUUGGAGCUGGUAAGUGGCACAUUAU